GCAUUGCUGACGAGUCCCAAAUAGGACGAAACAGCUGUCCAAUGC
rnacentral:hammerhead_ribozyme from 1 species